GACGAACGCUGGCGGCGUGCUUAACACAUGCAAGUCGAACGGAAAGGCCCUGCUUGCAGGGUACUCGAGUGGCGAACGGGUGAGUAACACGUGGGUUAUCUGCCCUGCACUUCGGGAUAAGCCUGGGAAACUGGGUCUAAUACCGGAUAGGAGCCAUUUUUAGUGUGAUGGUUGGAAAGUUUUUUCGGUGUAGGAUGAGCUCGCGGCCUAUCAGCUUGUUGGUGGGGUAAUGGCCUACCAAGGCGGCGACGGGUAGCCGGCCUGAGAGGGUGGACAGCCACAUUGGGACUGAGAUACGGCCCAGACUCCUACGGGAGGCAGCAGUGGGGAAUAUUGCACAAUGGGCGCAAGCCUGAUGCAGCGACGCCGCGUGGGGGAUGACGGCCUUCGGGUUGUAAACUCCUUUCGCCAGGGACGAAGCUUUUUGUGACGGUACCUAGAUAAGAAGCACCGGCUAACUACGUG
rnacentral:rRNA from 1 species